UACGUAGGGUGCAAGCGUUGUCCGGAAUUAUUGGGCGUAAAGAGCUCGUAGGCGGUUUGUUGCGUCGGCUGUGAAAACCUGAGGCUCAACCUCAGGCCUGCAGUCGAUACGAGCAGACUAGAGUGUUGCAGGGGAGACUGGAAUUCCUGGUGUAGCGGUGAAAUGCGCAGAUAUCAGGAGGAACACCGGUGACGAAGGCGGGUCUCUGGGCAACAACUGACGCUGAGGAGCGAAAGCGUGGGGAGCGAACAGG
rnacentral:rRNA from 1 species